rnacentral:rRNA from 1 species
UACGUAGGGUGCGAGCGUUAAUCGGAAUUACUGGGCGUAAAGCGUGCGUAGGCGGUUAUUCAAGUCAGAGGUGAAAGCCCGGGGCUCAACCCCGGAACGGCCUUUGAAACUAGAUAACUAGAAUCUUGGAGAGGUCAGUGGAAUUCCGAGUGUAGAGGUGAAAUUCGUAGAUAUUCGGAAGAACACCAGUGGCGAAGGCGACUGACUGGACAAGUAUUGACGCUGAGGUACGAAAGCAUGGGGAGCAAACAGG